rnacentral:rRNA from 1 species
GCAAUACGGGAGUGGCAGACGGGAGAGUAACACGUGGGAACGUGCCCUUCAGUUCGGAACAACCCAGGGAAACUUGGGCUAAUACCGGAUACGUCCGAAAGGAGAAAGAUUUAUCGCUGAAGGAUCGGCCCGCGUCUGAUUAGCUAGUUGGUGAGGUAACGGCCCACCAAGGCUACGAUCAGUAGCUGGUCUGAGAGGAUGAUCAGCCUCAUUGGGACUGAGACACGGCCCAAACUCCUACGGGAGGCAGCAGUGGGGAAUCUUGGACAAUGGGCGCAAGCCUGAUCCAGCCAUGCCGCGUGGGUGAUGAAGGCCCUAGGG